rnacentral:rRNA from 1 species
CCUACGGGCGGCAGCAGUAGGGAAUUUUCGGCAAUGGGGGGAACCCUGACCGAGCAACGCCGCGUGAACGAAGAAGUUAUUCGUAAUGUAAAGUUCUUUUAACAGGGAAGAAAGAGAAAUUUGACGGUACCUGACGAAUAAGCUCCGGCUAACUACGUGCCAGCAGCCGCGGUAAUACGUAGGGAGCGAGCGUUAUCCGGAAUUAUUGGGCGUAAAGGGUGCGUAGAUGGCAUAGUAAGUCUUUUGUAAAAAUGCUGGGCUCAACCCAGUAGGGCAAAAGAUACUGCAAAGCUAGAGUAUGACAGAGGCAAGUGGAACUACAUGUGUAGCGGUAAAAUGCGUAGAUAUAUGUAAGAACACCAGUGGCGAAGGCGGCUUGCUGGGUCGAUACUGACAUUGAGGCACGAAAGCGUGGGGAGCAAACAGGAUUAGAUACCCGAGUAGUC